CAGUUACUCCCUCCGUUCGGAAUUACUUGUCGUAGAAAUGGAUGUAUGUAGAUGUAUUUUAGUUCUAGAUACAUCCAUUUCCGAGGCAAGUAAUUCCGAACGGAGGGAGUACCUU
rfam:Triticum aestivum genome assembly, contig: Triticum_aestivum_CS42_TGACv1_scaffold_031352_1BL